UCACCCCAGGUCACACAGCUUGUGAGGAGCAGCACCACACCAUGAAUCCAGGCAGUCUGGCUCUAAGGAAGAGGACCCAUCUGCAGCUGGGAUCCUCAGAAGCAGGAGUUUGGAGCAGAGAGUUGGCAGAGAGUCUGGGUAUCUGGGGUACUCUGGCUGAACUCAGUCACAUAUGGAGGAGCGAGUGAGCCACAUGAGAUGGAGGGACUGCUUGAGAAUAAAGCCAGUAGAGAGAAAAGCAGAAUUGAGACACGGAGAAAGGCAGAUUCCUAAUGACACUGAGCUCCUGAAUCCGAUGAAGCUCCAUUCCCCAGAAUUUUUCAGUAUCAUGAACCAAUCUAUUCCGGUUCAAACCAGUUUCAGGUGAGUUUCUGUCAAAGGGUUCCUCAACCCCAAAUCCUUCUUUCCUCUGCCAUCACCCCCUGCCUGUUCCUCUCCCCAGUGGCAUACCCGGAUGCCUGCUGUGCGGCACUUGAGCACAGCAUCAGGGACGGUGGCCCGGGGUGGGUCGAUCAUGGAUACAAGUCCGGCAAAGCAGAGGCCACUAGAUGGAAAGUUCAUGGCCUCCACGUCGAAGGCAUAGCCAGGCGGGUAGUCCUUCUCACUCAGAUAGAGCUGGCAGAAGCCUGACCAGAAACAGGGAAGUCAGAGAGGAGUCCUGGGCAGACCCUGCCCUAGCAG